CUUGUGCUGGGGAUGAUAGGGUACAACAAAACGCUUUGCCAUUAUCAUUUAUCCUCCAGAGUGUGGGCGUAAAUAAUGUGCCCACAUUUGUGAAACUCAGAGGGAUCUCCAUGGAAACGCUUAAUCGCUGACAUUUAAACUCCUGGUGCUGAUAAGGAAAGCUGCUGCCUCUGACCUAUUGAGAACAGUUUAUCAAGGGCAAGAGCUAUGGACAAAAUCAGUAGUUGAAACAAUGAAAUAGAAUCCAAAAAAAUAUAGAGACAAAGAAUGUUUCUAUGCCACAUAGAGAAGAAUAUCAAUAUGUUUUCACCAAUCAUUCAAUCAACCAGAAUUGAGUGAAUGUGUCUAGAGGGACAGAUAUCAUCAGAACUCUGGAGACCCCAUCUGCCAGUGCAAGUAGGUGGUUGAGAGAAUGACUUCAAGCUUAUAUGUGUCGUA
rnacentral:lncRNA from 1 species